UCUACGUAGCCUCAGUUUGUCACUGCAGGGCCCUCGUGCAACUUUCUCCCAAGAGGUAGAAGAAGAAGAAGACAAGGAUGGCUCAUGGCGGUAUCUUCAUCAACUACCUUCCUUUGGGCAUGAGCGAGGACGAUGUGCGUGAAUUAUUCUCUCGGUACGGUCGAGUCGUAGAUUUGAUUGUAGUACAGCGACCAGAAUUCAGAUCGCACACUUACGGCUACGCGCUGCUUGACUCGGCGGAGGACACACGUCGAGCCAUUCGCAACUUGAACGGGGCUGCUAUCCAAGGGCUGAGGCUCAAGGUGGAGCCAACGUUCGGAAAAGCCAGUCACAUCUUCAGCAUAGGGGAAGGCGUCCGUCAGCACUCUAUACCGGCAACAUCGCAUGCUCGCAUACAGACUGUCCGAAGCGAGCUCGGCCUCCGAAUCAGACGCGCCUGGGACUGUCACCUGGCGAGCACGCCAUCGGACCCGACUGUGGAACAAUUGUGUGCUCGGCUCAAGAACGUCCCUUACGACCUAGUGAGGCCCGUCCCUCGUCGUGCUCAUCUCCAAACCGACCGGCAGCCCCUAUUUUUUUGGCUCCAGGAAGAGGAAGAACGAGGCAAUGUCGUAGAACUGUUGCGACGUCUGCAUCCAAGGAGCUUUCCCUUCGAGCAGUUCGCGAUCGACAUGGUGACAGCUCUGUUGGCAGAGCUGCGCACUCAGAAAUGGCAGAGCUCACUUCGAGAUGUGGAACAUUCAGUAUGCGCAUCUACGAGCACUAACGAGAGCUCAUAGAAGUACACUUUGUUUAUAAAAGCACCGUGAUCGUCGAUUGUAUCGAGACCGUAUCUUUAGUUUCUGUUUGUUUUUGGAAUAAAUAUCACCAGCGUUUCAA